rnacentral:rRNA from 1 species
CAGCAGCAGCCGCGGUAAUGCGUAGGUGGCAAGCGUUGUCCGGAAUUAUUGGGCGUAAAGGGCUCGCAGGCGGUUUCUUAAGUCUGAUGUGAAAGCCCCCGGCUCAACCGGGGAGGGUCAUUGGAAACUGGGAAACUUGAGUGCAGAAGAGGAGAGUGGAAUUCCACGUGUAGCGGUGAAAUGCGCAGAGAUGUGGAGGAACACCAGUGGCGAAGGCGACUCUCUGGUCUGUAACUGACGCUGAGGAGCGAAAGCGUGGGGAGCGAACAGGAUUAGAUACCCCCGUAGUCCCUGUCUCUUAUAC